rnacentral:rRNA from 1 species
AUCCUACGGGACGCAGCAGUGAGGAAUAUUGGUCAAUGGUCGGGAGACUGAACCAGCCAAGCCGCGUGAGGGAUGAAGGUACAGAGUAUCGUAAACCUCUUUUGUCAGGGAACAAAGGCGGGGACGUGUCCCCGGAUGAGUGUACCUGAAGAAAAAGCAUCGGCUAACUCCGUGCCAGCAGCCGCGGUAAUACGGAGGAUGCGAGCGUUAUCCGGAUUUAUUGGGUUUAAAGGGGGCGCAGGCGGGCUGUUACGUCAGCGGUCAAAGACCGGGGGUCAACACCGGCCCGCCGUUGA